CUAAAACAACGACCUUAUCUGUGACAACAGUAUAGCUAGGCAACUUCGGUGCUGGACACGGUUUUCUGUAGAAAUCCUGAAAUAUACAGAGUGUAUUACCAUAUGCUUGCUUCUUUGAGUAUGUGCCUGAAACAAGAAUGUCCUGGAGAAAACGGACCACAACAAGAAAAGAGAUGGAGAGGAAGGGCUUGCUGUUGAGAGAUCAUGGGGUGCCUUGAGGUUCCACUUCCAGUCUUGAUGUUCUGCCCCUUACCUCUAAGCGAUGGCCUCUUGUGCCUGGCAAUAUAUGAGCGAAGCACAAUGGACUGGUGCCUGUACAUGUAAUGUAUUUCAUGCAAAUGAAGGGUAGAAUGAGAAGCUCACAAUGAUAUGGUAGACAAGGACCUUGCUGUCUAAAGCUCGGAGGCCA
rnacentral:lncRNA from 1 species